UACGUAGGGUGCGAGCGUUGUCCGGAAUUAUUGGGCGUAAAGGGCUCGUAGGCGGUUUGUCGCGUCGGGAGUGAAAUCCACUGGCUUAACUGGUGGCUUGCUUUCGAUACGGGCAGACUGGAGGUAUGCAGGGGAGAACGGAAUUCCUGGUGUAGCGGUGAAAUGCGCAGAUAUCAGGAGGAACACCGGUGGCGAAGGCGGCUCACUGGCCGGUAACUGACGCUGAGUGCGAAGACGUGGGAGCAAACAGG
rnacentral:rRNA from 1 species